rnacentral:lncRNA from 1 species
CUCAGAAUGCUUUCUUUAGCUCCUGAGUCUCCUUAGGUCUCCACUGGGGUUGUGUGUAAAAAUACCAAGCCCUCCCUGACAAUGCAUCUCAUUCUCUUCUGCUUGAAUUAUCCUGAUAAUCAGAGAUCACCCACUUCUUUGACAGUGUAGACUAGGAUUUUAAAAAUUGGGAGAGAAUUAUUGGACAGUGUGGCACUUCACCAGCUUCCCUCAAGGUUCUGGAUCUACGCUAAAGAGGGGUGGAAAUGCUUCUGGGGUGUCCAGAAGGGCUGCAGAAAUUCCUCGUCACUGGUCAUGGGGAGAGCAGGACUGGCUUGCCUCUGUGGCCUCUUCUGCCUCUGGAGGUGACAAUUCCUGAUUUGAGGCACUAGGGUGGAAGACUCAGGACUAUCCAGGACCAGGUUAAUAAACCGGCAGUCCAGAUUCCAGAAGGGCAGCAGCUGGGGGCUGGGGACAUGCCCAUGCCUGUGGGACAGAGUUCUUUUGCAUGCUUUGGCCUUUACGACUCUGUAUCCUUGACAAGUCACAGGCAUCUCUGGGUGAAAUGGGGACAAUAGUACCCAUACCUCCAAGGGUUAUGUGAGAAUUAAGUAAAAUAUGCAAAUAAAGUGCCUGGCAUACAGUAGGCACUGAGCAAAGGCUGGGGCAAGGGAUGCAUAUAAAUGUCUGGAUCUGAAGUUUGAAAUUCCACCUGCUGGAGACAGUGAACACCCCAGUAGAUACCCCAAAUCACACAGAAGGACGGAUGACCAGCUGCCUUCUUCCCCCAGGGCAUGCCAUACACACUGGGCCUGAAGUGGGAGAAUCGGGACCCCAAAAAAACGGCUUGUGGAGCGGGGUUGCACAUGGGUGUAAAGUUCCCAGCUUGGCUGCCUGGGGAGGGGGAGCAUGUAAAUGUCUUUAGAGAUUUGAAGGGACCAGGAUCUGGACUGACUUGCGUUGCUCAGGGGGCUGGGGCUGGGAGCCAAGGGGGUGCUGCCGGGAGGCCCAGGUUAGCUUGGGGUAUGGCAUUUCUAACAGUUGGCGCCUGCGGAAAAUGGCCUGGGGUUCCAGCUCUGGAAGGUUCCGAAUCUCAGUAUUCACGAGCGGCGCUGUCCGGAGCAGCCAGGGUUGUCCCUUGGUGGUCUCGGGCAGGUUCUCCGCGAUGCGCUUGCUGGGUCGCAGGUGAGAACCUCACGGUUCUCCAUUUCCGGAGCUCCAGCUCUGAGCAGGCAGAGGGUCGCUCCCCUCGCCUGCCCCUGCGGUAGCCAAGCAGGUGGCUGGAAGCGUGGCUAGCUGGCAGGUAAGGAGCUCCAGGUGAGACGGAACACGACCCCCAACCCCCUUAGCCGGUGCCCCACCCGAUUUCUCUCCUGCGUCCUGGGAGGGCAUGGUUGAGGCGCCACCGGUGCCCAGCAACCUCCCCAGGCUGUGGUUGUGACCUGAGGACGCGUGUGUCCCCGCCCCCAGGCCACCGCUACGCGACCCUGAGUGCACCUUCAAGAAGGCCGGGCACGUUUCUGGGCGGGCGUGGGGGGUGCCUGAUAUCUCCGCUCUAUUUUACAGUUACUCCCCUGCUGGUGCCUCCCUCCUUGGCGCGCUUCCCACCUGCGAUCGGCGCCCUCUUCGCAGUCACGAACUCGCCAGCAGCUAGCAGCACUGACUAGUAGGAGGGCCCGCCGGAGGAGAGGACAUACUCUGGAGUCAGAAGACAGCGAAAAGAGAAGCAGAAGCCCCGGUGGCAAGAGUCUGAAGGAAGGAUGACUGUAGCCUGUGGAUUGUACUGCAGUAGGAAACUGUCCUAGCAAGGCUCCACCUUGCCCCAGCUUCAAGCUGGAAAGGAGGAGAACAUGAAACAUUGCUUGAAGACAAUGGCCGAGACAGCAGGUCCCACCCUGCACAGCCAACAGCAUCUCUCCCCUCAGCCCUGUCUCCUCUUCUGCAGUUGGGAUCUGCACAUUUAAGCCUGAAGUAAGAAUAAAACAAACCCCCAAACCACCCUAUUAAAAAAUGUGCCUGGCCUUGGACAUGCAGAGGUAGCUAUAAACUGUUGAAGGUGGGAGAAGGUCAACAAAAUGAAGGUUUGAG